UACGUAGGGCGCGAGCGUUGUCCGGAAUUAUUGGGCGUAAAGAGCUCGUAGGCGGCCUGUCACGUCCGCUGUGAAAUCCCGGGGCUCAACCCCGGGCCUGCAGUGGAUACGGGCUGGCUAGAGGCAGGCAGGGGAGAACGGAAUUCCUGGUGUAGCGGUGAAAUGCGCAGAUAUCAGGAGGAACACCGGUGGCGAAGGCGGUUCUCUGGGCCUGUUCUGACGCUGAGGAGCGAAAGCGUGGGGAGCGAACAGG
rnacentral:rRNA from 1 species